GACGAACGCUGGCGGCGUGCCUAAUACAUGCAAGUAGAACGCUGAAGAGAGGAGCUUGCUCUUCUUGGAUGAGUUGCGAACGGGUGAGUAACGCGUAGGUAACCUGCCUGGUAGCGGGGGAUAACUAUUGGAAACGAUAGCUAAUACCGCAUGAAAUUGCUUAUCGCAUGAUAAUUAAUUGAAAGAUGCAAUUGCAUCACUACCAGAUGGACCUGCGUUGUAUUAGCUAGUUGGUGAGGUAACGGCUCACCAAGGCGACGAUACAUAGCCGACCUGAGAGGGUGAUCGGCCACACUGGGACUGAGACACGGCCCAGACUCCUACGGGAGGCAGCAGUAGGGAAUCUUCGGCAAUGGGGGGAACCCUGACCGAGCAACUGCCGCGUGAGUGAAGAAGGUUUUCGGAUCGUAAAGCUCUGUUGUAAGAGAAGAACGGGUGUGAGAGUGGAAAGUUCACACUGUGACGGUAUCU
rnacentral:rRNA from 1 species